rnacentral:rRNA from 1 species
GCGUGGGUAGCGAACGGAUUAGAUACCCCGGUAGUCCACGCCGUAAAUGAUGGAUACUGGACAUUGGUACUCGAUCGUAUCAGUGUCUCAAGCUAACGCAUUAAGUAUCCCGCCUGGGGAGUACGGUCGCAAGAUUAAAACUCAAAGGAAUAGACGGGGACCCACACAAGCGGUGGAGCAUGUGGUUUAAUUCGACAAUAAGCGAGGAACCUUACCAGGGCUUGACAUCCCGAGAAUUCUUUAGAAAUAGAGAAGUGCCUUUAUGGAACUCGGUGACAGGUGCUGCAUGGUUGUCGUCAGCUCGUGCCUUGAGGUGUUCGGUUAAGUCCGUAAACGAGCGCAACCCUAGUCCUAUGUUGUAUAUUUCAUAGGAGACUGCCUUGUCCAACGAGGAGGAAGGUUAGGAUGACGUCAAAUCAGCAUGGCCCUUAUGUCCUGGGCGACACACGUGCUACAAUGGUCGGUACAAUGGGUAGCCAACCCGCGAGGGGGAGCCAAUCCCAUCAAAGCCGGUCCAAGUUCGGAUUGGAGGCUGCAACUCGCCUCCAUGAAGUUGGAAUCGCUAGUAAUCGCGCAUCAGCCAUGGCGCGGUGAAUAUGUUCCUGGGUCUUGUACUCACCGC